rnacentral:rRNA from 1 species
UGCCAGCCGCCGCGGUAAUACGGAGGGAGCUAGCGUUGUUCGGAAUUACUGGGCGUAAAGCGUGCGUAGGCGGAUCGACAAGUUGGGGGUGAAAUCCCGGGGCUUAACCCCGGAACUGCCCUCAAAACUGUCGAUCUAGAGACCGGGAGAGGUAAGCGGAAUUCCUAGUGUAGAGGUGAAAUUCGUAGAUAUUGGGAAGAACACCAGUGGCGAAGGCGGCUUACUGGCACAUUUCUGACGCUGAGGCGCGAAAGCGUGGGGAGCAAACAGGAUUAGAUA